AUCUGCAGCCAUCCCACCCUGAACGCGACCGAUCUUGUCUGAUCUCAGAGGCUAAGCAGGGUCAGGUGUGGUUAGUAUUUGGAUGGGGGAAGCCAAAGUGUAUGAAGAUG
rnacentral:rRNA from 1 species